AUAUCAAUAAGCGGAGGAAAAGAAACUAACAAGGAUUCCCCUAGUAACGGCGAGUGAAGCGGGAAUAGCUCAAAUUUGAAAUCUCACUAUUUUAUAGUGCGAAUUGUAGUUUAGAGAAAUGUUUUCAAAGUUUAUGACUAGUACAAGUUCUUUGGAACAAGAUAUCAUAGAGGGUGACGAUCCCGUCUUUGACUAGUUUAUAAAUUUUAUAUGAUACAUUUUCUAAGAGUCGGUUUGUUUGGGAAUGCAGACCAAAAUGGGUGGUAAAUACCAUCUAAAGCUAAAUAUUGGCGAGAGACCGAUAGCGAACAAGUACCGUGAGGGAAAGAUGAAAAGAACUUUGAAAAGAGAGUUAAAUAGUACGUGAAAUUGUCAAAAGGGAAGCGUUUGAAACCAGUAUUGUUUAUAAUAAUUCAAUUAUACCCUAGGUAUAAUGUAUUUUAUUAUGAACAAGUCAACAUCAGUUUGAUUUGUUAUAAAAAGUUAUAGAAAUGUAACCCUCUUUUGGGCCUUAUAGUUUAUAAUUAUAUAAUGAAUUGGACUGAGGAAUGCAGUAUUAUUUAGAGACCCUUAUCGCCUAGGAAAUAAGUUGUAAGGAUUACUUGUAAAUCUUAUAAUAUUAUGAAUAGUACGGUUUGGUAUCAUACCAAUACUUUGGAUGUUGACGAAAUGGUUUUAAGCGA
rnacentral:rRNA from 1 species